UACGGAGGGUGCAAGCGUUAAUCGGAAUUACUGGGCGUAAAGCGUGCGUAGGCGGUUCGUUAAGUCUGUUGUGAAAGCCCCGGGCUCAACCUGGGAAUGGCAAUGGAUACUGGCGAGCUAGAGUGUGUCAGAGGAUGGUGGAAUUCCCGGUGUAGCGGUGAAAUGCGUAGAGAUCGGGAGGAACAUCAGUGGCGAAGGCGGCCAUCUGGACAACUACUGACACUGAGACGCGAAAGCGUGGGUAGCAAACAGG
rnacentral:rRNA from 1 species